CUCUGAGGAUCAAAGGGGACAAAGGGGAUUCCAGAGUUUCCAGUCCGGUUGGCAGGGAGGCCUCAGGCUCACUCCCAGUACAGACAUGAGAGAGAGGCAGGCCUGUGGGGAUGUCAGGAGCUUAGGACAGCGCCGGGCUCAAGAGAUGUGGCUACCUUCCCUCCUGCUUUCGGUACUCAGCGCAGGCAGGGUUCAGUGCAGCAAGUAACAGCUGUGGCUUACUGGAUUGUCUGCAACCAUUGGCGACUGAGAGAUCCCUGCAGCCCUCCCAGACCCUCGAUCUGACUGGAGCCAGGCCCACGUGGGGAAAGGGUUAAACGUUGGCAGUGACUUCACCCCUGCAUUGGAGCAGGCGGAGGCAGAGUAGGUAAAAAAAUCAGGACAGAGGCUGGUUGGAAUUUUCCAGC
rnacentral:lncRNA from 1 species